UACAGCAGGCAUGCCCCCUGUUGCAGCUGCGCUGUCAAUCUCAUUUUGAAGCACAAAUGAUCUUAGACCCAGUGUUUGACAUGGGGUUUUAACACCAAAGAAGGCAAUUCUGCAACUUCAAAUGAGCCUAAUUGGCUGAGCGCUCGGGCGUUCACUCAAGCUGCUUCAGUCCAUCAGAGAGAGAUUUCCCGCUAAUUGAACUGCUCAGAAGGAAAAGGACCACGAGGAAUCACGAGACCUCUUGCUCCUGCUUGCUUCUGCCAUCCAGCAUCUAUCUGCUAUCCUCUGCUCUCGGAGAGGCACAGCUGUGUGUGAGUCCCAUGGAGUCUUAACUAAGAUUGAAAUCUGAGGCUGAUGUUGGUGUUCUCAUGGGAACAAGAAUCCUGACUCUAUGUAUUGAUGUACGGUCAAGGGAGGUAGAGCAGUCUGCUCAAACCAGAACUAGACCUCAGCUGUUCUGCUUUUCAGCCCAUCUUCUUCUAACUAUAAUGCAGUGUUAAAUUGAGAAGGAUGAAGCUAAAGAAAAUUUUCAUUUGUUUUGCAUUUUUACCUCCAUGAAACUCGAGGUUUGUGGGGGCCUCUGAGCAGCAAGCUUCCGUCUUCUUUUGCGUUGAGGGUGUUAUUGUGGUACCCGCGGACCUAGUGGCACGAUGACUUCAAGAAGUUUUCCAAACAGCUUUGGUCUUCUUUCAAAGCUUGUGAUAAGAAAAACUCAGAUAUGCUUUUGUGGAGAGCGGUCCAAUGUCAACAAUUUAGAUCUGCUCUUAGAGUAUUCCUCCCGAGAUGUGGAUCCUAGUGUUCAGAGCUUUAAGAGGAGAGGAUGUAUAUGUGCUAUAUAUAUCACAUUGCCAUGGAAAGCGGUCUUCAGUCUGCACUUCAUGUGGGGGAGAAUUCAUCAGUUUUUUGUUUUGUUUUUUUUAACGUUUGAAGUGUUUAGCCUUGAAAAGAAUAAGCCUAAAAUUAUGUUCUAAAUAAAUAGUGCCUU